GUCCUUUUAACUCAACAGGCAAGAGCCCGAUCGUAUGGCAUUUCGGGACGCCGGUCCGAGUCCGGCAAGGGACA
rnacentral:tRNA from 1 species